UUAAUCUCAUUUUCUUCACCCUAGCCAUCCCUCCCUUCUCCUCUCCUCUUUUCAAAUUUUUUAUUCUUUUCCCCUUGUUGCUACCAGCAUCGGCAUUCAUCGACUUCUGUCAGACACAAUCAGUAGUCAUCGAUAGUCAUCGGCUUUUGUCACACACAAUCGGUAGUUAUCGACUUCUAUUGCACUUUGUGCACCACCAGCUGACAACAGCAGCAGCCCUUCGCAGCAUCAUUUAGUGACCCGUGGCUAAUUCUCUCAAUGUUCUGCAGCACUUAUUUGCCGCCCCUUUUUUCUUGCUUGAGUAAGUGCCAUUUUCUUUCAUUUUUCUUGAUGGAUCUUUCAAUUAAAUACCUAAUUUUUCAUAUCUGGAAUUCGGGUGAUAUUUUAAAGAUUUAAUGGGUAUUUUUCCAGCCCCAAAUCUAAAAUUUUGGACCUCCAAGAAUGAUUGCCAUUGUUGCCAAGAAGAGCCAUUGCCGCCUCUUUCACCUAGCUUGUGUAAGUUCUUAUUUUCUUUCAAUUUCUUGAUGGAUAUUGUAGGUUGAGUAUCCAAAUUUACAGAUUUGGAAUGAGGGUGAUUUUUAGGGAUUUAAAUAUUAUUUUUCUAGCCUUCCAAGUGAUUUUAAAUGUGAUUUGAAAUCAACCUUAAAUCGGCCACCAUUGGUGGUGGUGUGUACGCUUAAAGGCUAGGAAGGGGGCUGUUAUUUCUGUAAUUUUUCCCAUCCUUUUCCAGCAAUAUAUUGAGUUCUUGCACCCUUCCUAAUCAACCUUUAAUCAUGUGUAAAUUAGGGAAAAUCAAUCUUGAUCAAUCAGCGACUCAAAUUUGACAAUUCAGGAAGCGUAAAUGUGGUUGAUUAUAGGCUAGUGUGUAGUUUUGAUUUUGAUGUGAGGGAAAUUGUUAAUUAAUUAAAUUAAAGAUUUUAAAUAUGGAAUAGCUACUAAUUUUCUAGUAUUUAAAUUUUUUAUAUGCUGAAUUAAACGCCCUAAAUCAAUAGUGAAGCCGAAAGACGUUCGCGCCUACAAUUUGCAUCCAUUUAGUGUAAAAAAUUUAAUUAGUUUGGAUUCAAAAAAUAAUUAUAGUUCUAAUGCUUGGAUUGAACCCAUAAGUCGGUGCUUGGGGGCUGAUUAAGAGGCAUAUUGAUUGAUUUUAAUUCUUAUUUUUAAUUUAAUUUAAUUUUAAAGCUUAUUAGAGAAACUGCAAGAUUUACAAGUGUGCCGCAAAAGAGCGUAAAAUAAGGUAUGGGUCCUAACUCAAAAACUUGAAUGUUAAUAAUGAUUUUAAGAUAUAAUUGAUGAUUUAAUUUGCUAAUCGUACUUGGCUAAAUAGCUAAGUAAUUAAAAUUGUAAGAGGCUAACCUAGGUACGUUUCAAGCCAUAACUGUUUGGCAUGUUAGCAGAGUUGCUAAAUUGACUGAAUAAUUACAUGAUUGAUAUUGUUGUGAAUGGUUAAAUAGUAUGAUGUAUGAUUGGUUGUUUGUAUAAAAUGAUUUUUAAUGAAAAUAAGGCAUAUGCAUGAGAGAUUAGUAUGAGUAAUUUGCUAUGCAAUGUUUGAAAGACUACUAUACAUGCACACAAAAAAGUUUGUAAGUACACAUGAAAUUGUGAUUUGUUAAAUGAUACCACCUUGAUGGUAAAUUGAAAGUUGGACCAAUGAUCCUAUUCAUUGAAAGUAUUUGAUAAUAUGAGGGUGUAUUGGUCAUGCCAAAGAAAGGUGAAAGAAUUGAAUUUAUGACUAUGUAUGAGAUUGUAUGACAUCCUGCGUGUGCAUUGGAGUGGGAUUGUUAUUGUGGUUGACGGAGGAGUUCUGUGGAGAUUUAACAGCAUAUUAAGUCCGCAUUUAUUCGUAGUUAGUGCACUGCACUGGAGAUUUGAAGGGAUUUGGUGAUUUUAUUUCACUUAUUCAUUAUUUUGCGAUUUUAUCACAUUUAUUUGUUAUUUGGAAGAUUUCGAAAAUUAUAUUUAUUUGGUGGUUUACCACAUCGAGCUUUACUCCCAUUCAUUGGAGUUUGGCAGGCGGGUUCUGGGAACUUGUGGUGUGUAGCAGAUGGUUGGGGUAGGAAUGUUUUUGCAUUGCAUCAUGCUCACGACAUACUCGAAUGUUAUUGAUUUAUGCUAUGUAUUGUAUUGUGUUGUAUUGAAUGGUAUUUAAAUUAAUGAUUGUUACUUGAAUGAAAGAUGGCCAUGCUCAAACACCGUUUGACAUUGAUUUGAUAAUGACUAUGUAGCGAUAAGAAAUUCCAAUGAUGGUUCUAUGUUCUUUUGUUAAUGCUAAUAUGUUUCACCGUAUUUGAUAUUUAUGUUUGUUUAAAUAAUUGUUUGACUCAGACUGAGCUUUCGUAAGCUCACUCCUCCUAGUGUUUAGCUUUUUAGGUAAACCUCGAAACUAAGAUCGGACCCGGCAUACGAAAAAUCACCUUGGACCUUAGACUGUUUUUAAUAAGUAUUAUUAAUAAGUUUUUAUUGGUUUUGAUUUGUAAUUUUUAAUUAUUUCUGGUCUAUGGCUUAGUAAUUUUUCAUUUGGGGAUUUUUUUGCAUGCAUGGAUAAUAACCAAAAAAUGAAUGAUAUCUGGCUUAUCUAAAAUUUAACAUUGUACUCUAAUUUCCGUUGCAUUGCAAAGAAACUGUUUUUUAAAAACAAAUCGAUAAGGCAACUAGAUUUGCAAAAUGACUUAAAUAAUGGUUUUUUUCACUGCAUUAGUUAACAUCAAGUUUUUACAAAGUAAAGCGACAAACAAGUGGUUUUUCUAAAGCAACAUUGUCAACAAUAAAAUGAAUCUUAAGGGCAGAAGACCUAAUAAAUAAAUGUUUUAAAACUAACUCAAAGUACAACUACAAUUUUUUUUUUGUAAAAUAAGUUUACAUAAGGUCUUCAAAAGUUUCGUAAGUUAGCUUAGUCAUUUCAAUGGCUAAUGUAGCCUUCUCAAUAUAGCCAUAACGUCUAAGCCAAGUUAGGGAGGUUACACAUGAUCUUUUAUUAGAAUUUUCAUACUAAAAUUCGUGUAUACUGUCCCAACGAACUUCAUCAAAUACCACCACGGUAUCAAAACUCACAUACCAUAAUUUCACAACACACUAUUAAACCCUAUUUUCUCCAACAUUUUCAAUCAUGCAUUGUACUUCUAACACAAGUACACAUUCAUGUAAGCUAUACUCAUUUCCUAACUAAAUCAUACUUCUUACAUGCUUCUCCCACAUCAACAUGACCAUGCAUCACAAUAUAUGUUCUAUGUACACACAUAUAGUUACUUUACAAUCACAUGCACCUAUAUGUACAACACAUCAUACAACUAAAUUCACACAGAUACUAUACAAAGAUCACAUAUACACGUUCAAUAGUCACUCAAGAACUCAUGUAUCAUUACUAGAACAUCAACCAUAUGAAGAACUUUCUAGAACAAUUAUAAGAGUCAAGACUAGAACUCACCUGAUACUCACCUAUGCUAUAGCUUGAAGUUCCAAUCUCAAACAUCCUUCUCAAACUAACAACAACAACUGCUUAAAGAACAUAGAACCAAUAUUAAAAUUCAUUUAUAGAAAAAUGACUAACAUCUCAAUUACAGACGAACCCUAUGCAAGGUCUCUUAUUCAUAACUCAUUGUUUAUAUGCUUCUUAACAACCUUAUUAUUUCAAAAACGUAACAUGCAAAGCAAUCAGACUUGCUAAGAGGUGGAACAUCCACUAAUUUAUCCAAAAACCUUAGCUUCCAACUAAAUAAAUGAGAGGAAUACAUAUAAGUUUAAUAAGAAAAACUAGAUAUUAGUAUUGGAAGAAGAAAAACCCUUCUCUCCAUAUAUAUAUCCAGCUCCCUUUAGUAGAACUUGACAAGUGCCAAUUGUAUCUAGAAUUUGUCAUAAUAAAUGACCUAAAAAAUUCGGGAGAAAUAUAAAUGGGAAUAAUGUACAAAUAUUAUUUAACCAAUCAAUCCAGUUAACUCCUAACCAGAUCACGUUACAAAACCAAAUUAGCACAAUGCUUAAGCAAACUACGCGUACUAUACUUUUGGCGGUAACUCACAAUAGGCUUACUCUUCGCUUGUCACACUCUCUUCUUAAAUAGUAGAAUAAUCUGAGAUAAAAUCUUCAAUUACUUAUACGGUGGGUACUUUAUGCCAACUCUUAUUUGCCAAAAGACUGUAAAUGGGCAUACUACACUACGCCAAACAGAUAACUUCACAUAUACACAUUUUCUAAUCGGGUCCACUAGAUUUAGGAUGUGAAAUGGUGGGCAUAGGCCUUUUCUAUUAAAUAGGGAACCCAAAGGACUCUCUGUUGGAUUUGGUGCCCUAAGUGUAGUAUUUUCGUCUAAGUACACUUGUAAUUUUUUCGAAUACAUUGAUUAAUAAAAUUAUUCAUGAAUUAAAUUAAUAUACUUUGUAUUAUUUUCCUCAAAUGGUUUUUGCACGCAAAGUAAAAUAGAAGCAAGUGUUGUUCAUUGGUUGUCUAAAUGUUUAACUAAUACUAAACGGUAUUACGUGGUUGGAUCAAAGUACAAAAAGACAGCUUGUAUUAGUAGACAAACCUAUACAAGUCUUUAGUUUAAUUUGAAAUAGGCAAACCAAUUGAAAGACUAAUAUGUUGUCUAUCAAUAGUAAUUGGGGAGAUGCCUUAUCUUGGGCAUCGAAGUAGAUGACUCCCAGAAGAUAGAGACAUAGAUGUGACUGACUGGACUAACAGUACAUCAAACAUGACCCAAGCAGAAUAGAUCUUAAAUCCAUUUAUGGAUUUAUUCACUUGUGACAUUCAUAAUGCGACAUACCUAAAUCCUGAGUGGAUGGCAGACUAUGUAUAUGUGACUCGUACACUUUGAUGUAAGUAAAAGCCUUAGCUUAAAUAGAUAAAGAAGCGAAAACUGGUGCAUUGGGUGUACGACUUCUAUAGUAUGUAGUGGCAUUCACAACAGUGGAAUUCAUAGCCCAAAACAUAGGUAAAUGAUAUUAUCUCAUUAGAAUUACAUAGUUGAUGAAAAGUAAACGUGGUCACAGGUCGUCUGUCUUUGUGAUGGAUGAAUUGAUCACUAUUUAAUAGUGAUUGAAUUUUCAUGAAGAAAGAUGUAAUGAUUACCAUGAGAUAAAAUAGGAUCAUAUUGGGAGAACGAUUAUUAUCCCAAAUAUAUCAAAGAUAUCCUUUGAGGGUAACACACUUAUGACAAGGUCAUUAGAUGAGCACUAAGUAGUUGCUUUCAGUCACGAUACUCAAGUGAAAUAACUUCGUGACUAAAUGAGUUUAUAAUUAAUUGGAAAAAAUGUUGGAAAAUGUGACCAUAUUGCAGUAAGCAUGUAAUUGUUUUCUAUGUAUUUGAACGAUGAAUAAAUAGAUUUCACAUUUCACUGUUAUGUCUUUUGUAUUUCUGUCUUUCAUAUUUUGCGUGCAUAACGAAAUUGUGACAAGCAAAUAUUAGCUCAUUGAUUGUCUAAGUUCAAACCGAUGAUAAGUGUAUUGUAAGAACAUUUACAUUGUAAAAAAGACAACUUACUUCAGUAGAUAUUCUAAAUGAUCCUGUAAUCCUAUAAAAGAAUCAAAGUGAACAUUUAGUUCAACUAAUGAGAAGGAUUAUUAUGUUGUCUACAAUUCCAAUUGAUAAGAUGGCAAGUGUUGGCUAUCGGAGCAACUGAUUUCAUGGGCAGAGACAUAGAUGUAUUUAUUGGUAGAAUGAUAUAUUGGAUAGGGCCCAUGAUGAACUAAUUCUGAAUCCGUCUGUGAAUUAAUUCAUUUGUGACAAUCAUAAUGUGAUUUACCUAAAUCCUAAGUUAUUCCCUGACCAUGCAUAUGUAACUCAUGUGCUUUGAUAUAAAUUGUAACAACCCGUUUUCAGUGAUGUUGGAAACAGUAGUUUCGGGACCACAAUUCUGAUGAGUAUAUUAUUUUUUAAUUUUUAUUUUAAAUUUAAAAUAUCAUAUUAAGAUCGUAUCAAAAUUUCGUUAAAAAAUUUUGAUGUUUUAAUGGUUAAUUAGGUAAAAAUGACUAAAUCGUAAAAGGUGCAAAAGUGUCUAUCUAUUAGUUAAAGGGGUCCAAUGGCUAUGAAAUCUUAAAAAAGGGACUUGAAUAGUAAAUAAACCAUUUAAUGAGUUAGUGGAUAAUUAAGGACUAGGUUUUCUUACAAAUUUGAUAGUUUUUAAAGGGUAAAUUGGUAAAUUAAACCUAAAAUAAUCUAAGAAAAAUAUAUCAUCUUUUUCAUUUUCUUCUUGCUUGGCCAAAAUCACCAUUAAAGGGGGGAGAAGCUUUGAUUUUGAUUUCCUUCAUGCAUGGUAUGUAGUUUUGUCCCCUUUUUAAUGAUUUUGAUUUUUUUGAGAUCGUUUUAGCUUAAUCUAGCUAGCCCGGGGGUCAAUUUUCAAAAUUAAAGGUUGAGGGAAUUUCCUUGAAUUUUUUAAUAGGUUUUGAUGUUAGUUGAUAGAUCAUUAGUUUUGGUUGUAAAACAAACAUGUUUUGUUAAGUGAUUUUGAUGAAAAUGAUAAUUAGGGAUUCAAUUGUUAAAAGUGUGAAACUAAGGGUUUGUUUGUGAAUUGUUGAGAAAUAAGAGUUUCUUUAAGGUCCCUUACAUCAUGAGUUAAGUUGGAUUUAGGUUAAAAUGGUUAGAUUGUAAGUUAUGAGUUUAAUAAUCAAAUUAUGAAAAGUUAAAAUGUUAAGGGUAAAUUUAUAAUCUUGCAUAAACAUGAACUAUGGAUUAUAUUUACUACUAUAAGUAUUUAAUUGAUUAAAAUUAUCUAUUUAGAUCAAGAUAAACCACAAUCAGAUCUAAACUGGGGAAAAGCUAAAGCUUUGGACUAAUUUGACUUUACUUCUACUCCCUGGUUAUCGAGGUAAGUUUGUAUGAAUUGUGUUCGUUUUAAUGUUAGCUAAAUUGAAUAUAUGCUAUGUUGUUAUAUUAUAAAUGAAUCAAUAUCUAUAAUUGUAUCCAUGCUAUGAUGAAUUGACAGAUAACAAAUCCCGGUUGAACCUUAAGAAUUCUUAGGAUACAAAUGAUAUGUCAUUAGGGAUUUCAUGUCUUGAAUGUCUUACUGAUGGCUAAGGUCCUGCAUUUGUUGCAGAUUCUCCACAGCUCGUGUGAGCAGCAUCGUGCAGCUUACAUUUCAACCCACAGCUCGUGUGAGCUUUGAUGUAAAUGAAAGGUUACGUUUAUAUGUAAAGGCACACUAUGUGUGAGCUUUCCUGAGUAUUCAAUGUAAUUCUAGAUGGUUCAAUGGGUAACAAAAGGAAAUGAAAUGGUAAGUAUACAAUUGGGAUGUAUGAUGAUGUUAGAAAAAGAUUGAUGAGUUAAAUGAUAUACUUAUAUAUGGAAAUCUACUUAUGCUAUGGAUGAACUCAUUUAUAUCAUGGACAAGUGCACUAACUUGUGAAUUGAUGAUGUUGUUUAGGCUUAUACUAAGCUUUUGGCAUUGGUAAUGGUUUAUGCUUAAGCUAUGAAUUCUAUAAAUAAAAUGGUAAGUUAUGUUUUAGUUUAUACGAGCUUACUAAGCACUCGUUGCUUAUGUAGUUUCUUUCCUUUGUUUUAUAGAUUACCAGAAGCUCGAUCGAUUGGAAGUUCGUCAGAGACCUAUCGCACUAUCCACCAACUAAUUUGGUAGAAUUUGUGUAUUUUGGCCAAGUUUAAUAAUGGCAUGUAUAGGUUGUUUUGUAAUGGUGAUUUGUUAUGUUUAUGCUUUUAAGUCUAUGGUUUAUUUGGUACACUUUAAUGCUUUACCAAGUUAUGUCAAAUUGGUCACUUUUGAGUACUUGUAAAUAAGUUUCUUUUGGUAUGUUAAUGAUGGCUUGAAAAUGAUCAAUUUGUGACAUGUUUUGGC
rnacentral:lncRNA from 1 species